GUGGACGCCAGUCUGCGUGGAGCCGACCUUGAAAUACCACCCUUUAAUGUUUGAUGUUCUAACGUGGACCCGUAAUCCGGGUUGCGGACAGUGUCUGGUGGGUAGUUUGACUGGGGCGGUCUCCUCCUAAAGAGUAACGGAGGAGCACGAAGGUUGGCUAAUCCUGGUCGGACAUCAGGAGGUUAGUGCAAUGGCAUAAGCCAGCUUGACUGCGAGCGUGACGGCGCGAGCAGGUGCGAAAGCAGGUCAUAGUGAUCCGGUGGUUCUGAAUGGAAGGGCCAUCGCUCAACGGAUAAAAGGUACUCCGGGGAUAACAGGCUGAUACCGCCCAAGAGUUCAUAUCGACGGCGGUGUUUGGCACCUCGAUGUCGGCUCAUCACAUCCUGGGGCUGAAGUAGGUCCCAAGGGUAUGGCUGUUCGCCAUUUAAAGUGGUACGCGAGCUGGGUUUAGAACGUCGUGAGACAGUUCGGUCCCUAUCUGCCGUGGGCGCUGGAGAACUGAGGGGGGCUGCUCCUAGUACGAGAGGACCGGAGUGGACGCAUCACUGGUGUUCGGGUUGUCAUGCCAAUGGCACUGCCCGGUAGCUAAAUGCGGAAGAGAUAAGUGCUGAAAGCAUCUAAGCACGAAACUUGCCCCGAGAUGAGUUCUCCCUGAGACUUAGAGUCUCCUGAAGGAACGUUGAAGACGACGACGUUGAUAGG
rnacentral:rRNA from 1 species